GAUGAACGCUGGCGGCAUGCCUAAUACAUGCAAGUCGAACGGGGUGCUUGCACCCAGUGGCGAACGGGUGAGUAACACGUAUCUAAUCUACCCAUUAGCGGGGGAUAACAGUUGGAAACGACUGCUAAUACCGCAUACGACAUUUUCUGGCAUCAGAGAAUGUUAAAAGGUCCGUUUGGAUUACUAAUGGAUGAGGAUGCGGCCGUAUUAGUUAGUUGGUGGGGUAAUGGCCUACCAAGACAAUGAUACGUAGCCGAACUGAGAGGUUGAUCGGCCACAUCGGGACUGAGACACGGCCCGAACUCCUACGGGAGGCAGCAGUAGGGAAUUUUUCACAAUGGGCGAAAGCCUGAUGGAGCAAUGCCGCGUGACUGAAGACGG
rnacentral:rRNA from 1 species